rnacentral:rRNA from 1 species
AUUGAACGCUGGCGGCAUGCUUUACACAUGCAAGUCGAACGGUAACAGGCCGCAAGGUGCUGACGAGUGGCGAACGGGUGAGUAAUGCAUCAGAACGUGCCCAGUCGUGGGGGAUAACGCAGCGAAAGCUGUGCUAAUACCGCAUACGAACUAUGGAUGAAAGCGGGGGACCGUAAGGCCUCGCUCGAUUGGAGCGGCGGAUGUCAGAUUAGGGAGUUGGUGGGGUAAAGGCCUACCAAGCCGACGAUCUGUAGCUGGUCUGAGAGGGCGACCAGCCACACUGGGACUGAGACACGGCCCAGACUCCUACGGGAGGCAGCAGUGGGGAAUUUUGGACAAUGGGCGCAAGCCUGAUCCAGCAAUGCCGCGUGCAGGAAGAAGGCCUUCGGGUUGUAAACUGCUUUUGUACGGAACGAAACGCUCUGGGUUAAUACCCUGGGCUAAUGACGGUACCGUAAGAAUAAGCACCGGCUAACUACGUGCCAGCCGCCGCGGUAA